CAUACACCUGAAUUCCUAAACACUAUUAAGUGUUCUGGAAUUCCAAAUCAUGUUAUUACUUUGAAAGUGGGUGUCCCAGUGAUGUUAUUGAGAAAUAUAGACCCAUCUUCAGGUCUAUGUAAUGGAACAAGAUUAAUCAUCACUAGACUCGGAAAUCGGGUUAUCGAAGCAAAACUAUUAUCGGAAAAUAUUGUUGGACAAAAGGUCUUCAUUCCGAGAAUGUCAUUAACUCCAUCUGAUGCAAGAAUACCUUUUAAGUUCCAACGAAGACAAUUUCCAAUAGUUGUAUCCUUUGCAAUGACGAUAAACAAAAGUCAAGGACAAUCUUUAUCUCAUGUUGGCUUAUAUUUGAAAAAACCGGUCUUCACACAUGGCCAGCUUUACGUUGCUCUAUCACGUGUUACAAAUAGAAAGGGAUUAAAGAUUUUGGUUUAUGAUGAUGAUGGAGAAAUUUCAAAUGAAGCAAUAAAUGUGGUUUACAAAGAGGUUUUCCGAAAUUUACUUGGAGAAUGAAAGCAUAUCUUUUACCUUUUCGCAACAUUUGUUGUUCUCAACAGCUUCAAUUGAACUUCGACAGUUAUAUUUCUUCUACUAAUACACGGAUAUAACAACUUUGAGGAUGCAAUACAAGUUGAAAGUUCGUGUUGUUCGUCUAUGGGAAGUCCUGGAUUGUUACAACUCAGACAAUAAUUUCUUCAUUGAAUUGGUUCUACAAGAUGAAAAGCGAAAUUGUCAUCUUGGAGUUGUCAGUCCUUUGGAUGAUACAACAGUGAAUUGCCCACAACAAGCAAUGGAGCAAUUGUUAUUGUCUCCGCAGAGCACUUCUACUUUUCACAGUCAACAAUCAUCUUGGACAGCAUGGCAUCGAAAGGAAAGUAAGCCAUUUUUCCACCCACUUUUGUUAACUUACCAUCCUCAUCAAAGGCCCGAACUUUAAACAACAGAUACAGAGUUUUAAGUAUCGCUUCAGUUGUUGGAGUAUAUUUGAAGUCAAAGUUCAUCACCUCUUACAUGACAAUGCUGUUGAGUAAGAGCACAACAUUUGCAAGGAGUUUGUCGUCCUGAUUGACCAGCACGUUUGUUGGCACACGCCUUCUACGUGGGAGCGAUCACCAAAUCCGAGAUUCAGGUACAUCGGAGGCUUAGCUGAGCAGUCUUUGA